ensembl:lncRNA
ACACACACGUGCACACACAUUCUAUUCCAGCCUCUUUCUCCCUGGAACAAGCCUAGCAGACUCCUGCCUCAGGACCUCAUACUCCCCACAACUUGGAAUUCUGUCCGCCCCCAACCCGCACCCAGAUAUCUGCCCCGCUUCUUCCUUCACGACUGCUGGGGCCAUCUUAUCGGAAAGGCCUUCCCAGCCACCCUGUGUGAAAUAGAAUAGCGUCAGCUCUCCCCUCACCCUUAUCAAGGGGCGCCACCAGGCAUGUGCCACAUUCAUUUGUUCUUGCAUUGUGACCAUCUCCAGGCCCUAAAAUGCUACGGGGCAGCUCUCUGCCCCCACCCUCCCCUCUCAGUAGCUUGACGGCUGCCUGGCUAGGAAUGUCUGCUCACAAGGAACAGUUUAGAAUGAAGCGGUGAGGAGCCUUCUGGGAGCCAGGUUCUGUGCUAAAAGCCUUUCCCACACCGACUCCAUUUUGCACAUAAGCAAACAGGCACAGCAGGUUAGGUCAACAAAUCCAAGUGUCUGCUUUCUAAUGAACAGGAAGACAGAGGAUGGGCAAGUGAGGAAAUGAAGGAUAGAUUACUGACACCCCCUCCAAAAUAGUAAAACAUGGGCCUGUGCUCCCCUGCAGUCCUCCAUGAGGCCCCCCCGCCAACCUGCUCAGAGUGCCCGCAGCACCCCCACCCUGCACUGAUCCUGGAACCCUGAUGUAGGUCAGUCCCCUCAUUGUCUAGUUGAGGGUCACGCGGGGAUCCCCAACACCUGGGUAAGGCAGCCCAGUCCCUGAGGGCUCAGAAUGAAAUUCUUCUUCAACCCUGGCAGGAAGCAGCCUUCUCCCAGGCCCAUCCUUAAGCAACAGCCUGGCCUGAGUCAGUAUGUAUCAAGCAGCUGCUGUGACUGCCUUGCCUAGCACUGUCUUCGCCUCGGGGGACCCAACAUUGUCCAGGUUACCAGAAGCAGAGACCCAACCCCCGACCUAGAUCAGGGUAGCUGGGGCAGAGGUGGCUGGAUCAGGUGGCUGUGGUGUCAUAUGGAGACAGGCUCCAAGAAGUCCUUACUCUGGGGUUUCCUACCGUAGGGUCCUGGGAAAAGUGGCUUGGCCCUUUCUGCACCUCAGUUCCUUCACCUAUCAAAUGGAGAUAAGAAGAGCUUCUCUCCAGGAUUUCCUUCUCCCAAGAGAGACAAACUGGUCUGUUUUUGCUCAUGGAUGUAUUCCCGGCACCUGGAACAAUGCCUGACAUCUCAUACAUAUUCAUUAAAGGCUUGAAAUAAUUACUUCUUUAAUUAAUCGACCAAUUCAUUAAUUAGUUAAUAUACUUGCCUUGAAUUCUUUAAGGCCUUCAGCGGCCAUCAGCUCUGGGGAUUGCCUUAUGUUUGCUGAUUUUUGGAGUUCUUGGAAAUUAAUUAACUACAAUCUGGGGUCUGUCCUCAUCCUGACACCACCCUCUUCUUUGAUACCCAGCUUGCCUCAGCAAGGACUGACUCGCCUUGACCAUCUCACCCAAUCUAACUUUCAAAUCUUCAAGGUCCAAAUGUACGUGACGCUUACCCAAGAGAGCCCCCAAGGCCGCAGCAAGAGUGUUUUCAUGUCACGCCACACUGUCACUUGACAAGAGAAAGACAGAGAUGAAAGGAUAUUUGAGACACGUGACCAGCCAUGACCUUGCUAGGGGGUAGUCACAUCCGAUGGGGGGAGGUGGGCAGUGACCUAAGAAGUUGGAGAAAAGAUGUUCCAUCAUGUUUCAGGGAAAGGCUUUGCCAGGACAAGGCAAGACAAAGAUACAGGAGAAAAAGAAAGAUAAAAGACAGUACAAUAUUAUCAAUCCUGAAUAUUCACAGGAAGGACUGAUGCUGAAGCUGAAGCUCCAAUACUUUGGCCACCUGAUAUGAAGAGCUGAAUCAUUGGAAAAGACCCUGAUUCUGGGAAAGAUUGAAGGCAGGAGGAGAAGGGGGUGACAGAGGAGGAGAUGGUUGGAUGGCAACAUCAACUCAAUGGACACGAGUUUGAGCGAGUUCUGGGAGAUGGUGAAGGACAGGGAAGCCUGGCAUGCUGAAGUCCAUGGGCUUGCAAAGAGUUGGACAUGACAGCAACUGAAAAACAGCAACAAAAUAUAAUCAACAUCGAUUUCCGAGACAUCCUAUAAACACCAAGUCAGACGAUGUUCCUCCUUAGCUCAAAAUCCUCCCAUGAAGAAAAGACAGUUGGUGAGAGUGUCGACAAAGACAUGGAGAAAUUGAGACUCUCAUACACUGCUUGUGGGAUUGUGCAAUGACCCAGCCACUAUGGAAAAGAGUCUGGAAAUAGCUCUUCAAAAGACUAAGUAAAGGACUUCCCUAGUGGUUAAGAAUCUGCCUGCCAAUGCAGGGGACCAGGGUUUAAUCCCUGGUCCAGGUGGAUUCCACAUGCCUCAGGGCAACUAAGCCCCUGGACUACAACUACUGAGCUUAUGCCCUAGAGCCCAGGAACUGCAACUACUGAAACCCAUGUGCCCUGGAGCCCAUGCUCCGCAACAAGAGAAACCACCAAGUAAGCCUGUGCGCCACAGCUAGAGAGUAGCCCCAUUCGCUGCAAUUAGAGAAACUUCGAGUGCAGCAGUGAAGACCGAGCACUGCCAAACAUAAAUUAAUUAGUUUUCUAAUAAAAGACUAAACACAGAAUUACCAUAAGUCCCAUUGUUCCUCUGCUGGGGAUACACAAGAGAAAUGAAAACUGUGUCCACACAAAAAUUUGCAUACGUCAGCACUAUUCACAAUAGCUAAAAAGUGGAAACAACCCAAAUAUCCCCCAGCUGAUGCACAAAUAAAUAAAAUACGAAAUAUCCCAUAAUGGAAUACUAGCAUUAAAUAAUGAAGUGCUGACACAGGCUGCAACAAGGAAUGAGUUUGGAAACAUUACCCCAAGUGAAAGUGGCAGUUACUAAAGACCUGUACUUUGUGAUUCCAUUUCUGUGAAAUGUCCAGGGUAGGCAAAUCCAUAGAGACAGAAAGCAGAUUGGUGUUUGCCUGCGCUUGCAGGGGAGGGGAGGCAGGGCAGAAAAAACCAGGAGUGACUGCUAAGGAUUCUUUUUGGGGUAAUAGAACAUUCUAGAAUUGAUUGUGGGGCUGGUGUACAGCUGUGUGAAUACUAAAUUCAUUGACGUGUACACUUUCAAUGAGUGAGUUGUAUGUGAUAUGAACUAUAGCAUCAUUGAAAUAUGU